AUUAAAAUGAUAUCAUUUUGAUAUAUUUUAGGGUAAUAGUUAUAGUAUUCUGUUAUUAUUAAAUUCUGGAGAAAUAAAAAAUUGUGAAAAAAAGAAAUGAAAAGAAAAAAAGAAAUUGAAAAAAGAAGUCGUAAUUUUCUUUUUUUAAAUCGCGGCCCAUCAAAAUUCUUUUGUGAUAUUUGUCAUAGUCCGGGCUUCUUGUUUGGGCCCGUAUCUGCAGUUUGCCCCGUAAGGCAAGGGGCAUUCAAGUAAAUACAAAAGUAAUAAAAGAGCUUCCUUUCAAGUUCUAGAAUAAAACCCUAACCCUAAUAGUCCCAAUCUUAAAAACCAUGGUUCGGCUUCUGAAGACCUUCUACCUAAUUUCGUCGCCAUCACCUCCUCCUCCAAACUCAAAGCUUGUCACCAUCAGUCUCAGUAUCGUAUGGAGAAAUAGUGUUGUCACUGCCUUUAGAGUAGCCAUGCGAAUCAAACUGCAAUUUCACAAAGGCUUAGUUAAGAGGCAGAAAUCAAAUAUAUGUUGGUCAAUGUAAUAUUGAUCAGUCAUAACCUAAGGCAUUUUGAGUGGAAAAUUACAGCUAUUCUUUUUAGCCAUUAAUUGUCCGCCAAGCUGUCUUAGACAUUUUAUUUCAUCAGAAAAUCUACAGCUCCAGUUUCUUAAAUAUUUUUCAUUUUCUUCUUUUUCUUGAUGCCUCCGAAUAACCAGAAUGGUCCAAUGAAACGAUGCCGUUUGGUUCAGACAGAGGCAAAGAACAAUUUGAAUCGGUUUGAGGGUAAGGGAAUUUUUCUUAAGAUCUAUUUCCUUUCCUAGAUGGAUUCAGAUAUUUAUCCAUUGUGGUAUUUUCUUUUUUGUCUUGAAUUUAUGAUUUUGUGGUAAGGAGCAGUUAAUUUGGUCUGAAAUGAUGCCGAUGAUGAGAUCAAUCACUUAAAAUAACCAUCUUUCGGGACUGAGCGACUCAUUUGAGUCCUGCUGACAUGUGUUUUGCUCUUCUGAGGCAUAACAACUUCUGUUGUUUUAGCGUCGAAUUCUCACGCAAUGAGCGGCACUUUCCACACGAGAUUUCUGACUCUUGUUUCUUGCAGUAUAUUUUAACCAAAUAUUAAAAGGAGAGUUCGAUGGGUUUUAUUUUUAAACUAAAUUUGCAUUGCCCAUUAACCAUAUCAUCCAUUGCGAAAGCUGGGUUAAACGUUGACUCGUUGAGUUGAGAGCUUAUCUUCCGAUGACAGGCUUGAGAAACACAUUACCGGAGAAUACCCUGCGAAUUGCAGGACACUACGCCUAGGACGCUUUUCAUAAAACGCUGACAACCAUCGUCGGUAAAAUUACAUGGUACAAGGUGGUAUUUGCUUGCGAUGGUGUUCUGAACUUACGGCGAUUGUUAUCAUUUGUAGUGUACUGUUUGCCUCUUUAAAGUAAAUCUCAAGAGACGGGGGGUCUGUUUAAUCAGAAACAUCAUCAAUGAGUUGGCACAUAAUAAUUUAGCUGAACAAGUUACACUGAUUAUGUUGGAUUAGGUAACAAAGCUAAAUCAUCACAAUGGAAUGUGGGCCUGGUACCACCUUCUAUUUUCGAUGUUUCUUUAUUACAAUGUUUAGAUGCUUAUUCUCGUAA